CGCUGGCGGCGUGCCUAAUACAUGCAAGUCGAACGCACUCUCGUUUAGAUUGAAGGAGCUUGCUCCUGAUUGAUAAACAUUUGAGUGAGUGGCGGACGGGUGAGUAACACGUGGGUAACCUGCCCUAAAGUGGGGAUAACAUUUGGAAACAGAUGCUAAUACCGCAUAAAACCUAACACCGCAUGGUGUAGGGUUGAAAGAUGGUUUUGGCUAUCACUUUAGGAUGGACCCGCGGUGCAUUAGUUAGUUGGUGAGGUAAAGGCUCACCAAGACCGUGAUGCAUAGCCGACCUGAGAGGGUAAUCGGCCACACUGGGACUGAGACACGGCCCAGACUCCUACGGGAGGCAGCAGUAGGGAAUCUUCCACAAUGGACGAAAGUCUGAUGGAGCAACGCCGCGUGAGUGAAGAAGGUUUUCGGAUCGUAAAACUCUGUUGUUGGAGAAGAAUGUAUUUGAUAGUAACUGAUCAGGUAGUGACGGUAUCCAACCAGAAAGCCACGGCUAACUACGUG
rnacentral:rRNA from 1 species